CACACAUUACCAUAGCUGGCGUUCAUAUGGGAAGUAAAUAAAAUAUUAUAAAUUACAGAACCCAAACGGGUUGCAUUUUUUUUUUAUUGGCUUCGGAAACCUAAGAUCUAGAAAAAAUUACAGAGGCAAAAACACAAAGUAAAGUGUCAAACAGGACUGAUAGUCCUAGCAGCCAUAUUGGGAUAUUGGAGUACUGACUUAGCUAAGUCACUCACAGCAGUGUAUUUAUAUAAAGAUGAUAAAUCAAUUAAGAAAGUUACCAAAGUUUGGUUCAAACUUUUUCCGAGGGAGAAACUUCUAUGGUCGGGUUGCGGCUCUUGGAACUGUUGCACUCUUAGCACUGAUUCACAGGGAAGAGCUCCACUACAGAGUAGAAACGUCAGCCUCUCACUACUCUGCCAGACGAUGGCUGAAUCGAGGAGAAUCCUAUCAACAACCUAAGCAACAAUAAAAGUGUGGAGAAGAAAUAUUAGAUGCACAUUGUAGAUAAUACUGAAUGAAAGUAUAUUAAAAUAUUCAGAAAUGCA